rnacentral:lncRNA from 1 species
GGAGGAGGGCGCAUGGGGUGAGCUCAGGGCAGAAGGCUUUUGUUCCAAAGCCCCUCUGACCUGAACGCACACACUCACAGCGUGCCCUGUAUCUGGCUCAGAAGCCGUCGCUCCGAAGAAGAGCAGCCUUCAGACUACCAAGCAGAGUAAUUCCUCAGAAUUGUCCCACGUUGUCCUAGAGAAGUCGUCUUUAUAGGCAUGGAGUAGGGUGUCUGCAGGCCUCCAGUCAAUUCCAACCGAUUUCAACUGCCAAAGUUAAAAGUUGCCAUUGCAGUUACUGUCGGACCAAAGUAACCCCUGAGAACUCUCCACAUUUGUAAAACGGACUGAAAGGUUCAGUGGCGUUUCCCACCUGGAACAGGACUAGUAAUGCUUUGAACGUGAAGAGGUAUUAAUGGCCACUUGCCCUUUAAACCACAGAGGGACAGCUGAGCACAGUGACCUUCUAGCCCAACUUGAGAGAAGCAGGAAAUGGGGUCUGAGGCUGAAGGUUCAGAUGAUAAAAUGCCCCUCGGGAAGAUAACGAAAUGCUUCAUCCGAUGGUGGCCCAAGACACCUCUUAAAAUCUAAGGAAAUCGUUUCCCUUUUAAAAAGCUGCUUUGUGGAAAUAACAAGUGAGAUCUUUUCCUGCUGUUUGUCUCUCUGCCUGAAUCCGGACAUAUUUUCUCUCACAGAUGUCAAUCUUUUGCUAAAAGUCUAUAAAUGAUAUUUCUUUUAAUAGUCCUAAAACAUAAACUACUGUUUCCUCCAACUCUUUCUAGGUUCCCAGAAUGUUUCCAUGGUCUUAUUCUAUUACAAUGUUUGAAACUUUAGUAAUAUUAAGAAAUCCAUUCUCCACAUGAGUCCAUCAGCUUCACUCUGUUCUCACAUAUUUCCCCACAGGUGGCUGGACAGGGAAAAUCUAAAUGACUGGGAUAGCUAAUAGCCUUAAAAAUACUAGGCCCCAAGUAGCAAAGAGACUGUGUCUCUAAACAUCUGGAUUCAUUGCACACUAUAUGCAAAUUGAUGCCAGCAUAUUUACAAAGGUCUCUGUAUACCCAGAAUACCAGGUAACUGGACCUCUAUUUUUCUGGAAAAGAGGUUUUGAAAUAUCGUUAACGGACAUAAGUGUCUGUAUCACUUCUGCCUCCUAGAUGACUGUCCCCUGUGAGGAACUGUCGUGGGAAUGAGGCGAUAGGACUGGUUGAAGGAAAUGCUAAGAAGCUCUCUCCUUUGUGGACUGAGGGACCAGCUUCAACACCAGAGGGGUGCAAUCCCAGCAGAAAAGGAACACUGUCUCUAAUGUUGCAACAAAGUAACCAGCAUGAAGUUAGCAAGAAGAAAUCACGGUUGCAGCUGCUGAACACUGAUCCCUACCUGCUUUAAACUUAGAUCCAGAACGGAGCCGGCACAGUGACUUACGUCACUCCCACUGGCUUAAGAGAACAGAGAAUGACAUAUAGACAAGAUGCUACCUCCCAUGGAAAGGCCCCUAUACAUAAAGUCACUUUAUUUCUCUGUCACUUCCCUG